AUCCCGUGGUGAGGGCAUCUACAAAGUAACUCUUUGAAUCUUUCCUAUGCCUCGUAUAAAGAUUCGUCAUCCAUUUGCUGGAAAGUGGUAAUCUCAUUUCGCAACU
rfam:Gossypium hirsutum cultivar TM-1 chromosome 14, whole genome shotgun sequence